GACGUAGGAUCCGAGCGUUAUUCGAAUUCACUGGGCGUAAAGCGCGAGUAGGCGGCAUAUCAAGUUGGAUGUAAAACCUCCCGGCUCAACUGGGAGCAGACGUACAAGACUGAUAAGCUAGAGGACGGUAGAGGGUGGUGGAAUUCCCGGUGUAGUGGUGAAAUGCGUAGAUAUCGGGAGGAACACCAGAGGCGAAGGCGGCCUCCUGACCGUUCCUGACGCUGAGAAGCGAAAGCUAGGGGAGCGAACGGG
rnacentral:rRNA from 1 species